CUCAUUCAGAGCUGGCUAAAGCAUCAACCCUGAUCAGCAGGCGAGGGUUUGUGAGUGCGCUUCUCGGGGACAGAAGUAGCAUCACUGCAUCAGGCAUCAGCACAGGGCAGGGUAACCUUAAACCAACUUAAAUCGGCAGAAGCAACAAUUAGUGCUGGGGAUGGGCGCCCGCUGGAGAUUGGCCUAGCGGGAAGUCGACGGUAAGAGUUGCUGCAAAAGAACCGACCACGAGAGUUCGACCGGCUGAGCGGAGAGAAAUCGAGGAGCUUUGAAGAAAAUGGAGAACCAGAGCGAGAACCUGACAGAGACUAAGGCCAAAGCAAACAGGAAGAUGAGGUAAUCCUAGUACAGCAAUGUAUUAUCCUGUGACCAAUGUCUUCUGCAAUGGUCAUACCUGCUUGCUUCUACCUGUAUUCUGAUGUUUGUCUCUGCUGAAGUGUCAAGUGAAGAAUUUCUGUAUUCUUAUAUCUUCACACGAUUGUAGAAAUUAGGGGAGAGAUUUGAACAGCAGGAUAGUUGCAGAGAUUAGCAGAGUAACAUACUUGCAGAUUCGUGUAAAUUGUAGAACGUCUAAUAUUGUUCGAUGGAGGACACAAGAUUUAACUUCAGAAGUUAGGACUCCGUUGGAGAAGAAUUAAAUUCAUAUGGGGGUUUUGUAAAACUUCAUUUCUAUUAGCCGUCCGACACUCUCCGUGGGAUGGAGGAGUAAUUUUGUUUCAUGUUGAAUUGGUUGUGUACAUAGGCUGUAGGUGUAGGGAAGCAGAUAUGUUGGAUACUUCAGUUAAAUGAAAAAUUGUUGCUGAAUUGUUUCAUGUUGAAUUGGUACCAUUGAAUGAAUGAAUACUACAUGCUGAAUUGUUUCAUGUUGUGUUGGAAAUGCACCUUAACUGUUUUCAUUUGUUUGGUGCGUGUUGGAGCAACCGAGCGGAUAGUCAUCGGUGUUCUCCAAACAAGGGGACGAGGGUGACAAGUCUGGACCGAGGCUGCUUCGCUAGCUGUGUGUGCUUCGACCCUAUCCGUGUUGUCUCUGGUGGAGUUUUCUGCCAUCUGGAUUACCCCGUGCCUGUGUCCUCCUUCCUGGAGCUGAAGAUCUUGGUCCUGGAUAUCGCCGUACCUAUGCUGCCCGGCCUUCAGGUUCUUGUUGCAAUUCAAUUCCUUGAAGGAAAGCCUUAUACCAUGAGGUGAUGGUGGUAUCCUAUCCUAUGCUGUUGCUCAUGUUGCUUCUACAAUCAAGGUUAUAUACAGAUGUACAGCUACUCUCCAUUCAUGGUCUGCGCUACAGAAGGUGGAGAACCGUGACCUGUUUACGGAGAUCUGUACACGGUUGGAGGACACGGCGAGGGAUACUUUUUCCCUACAUGAGUGGCAGCAUAAUCUACGGAUUCGCCUUCAUCUUAGGCGUUUUACAUUCACUCUGUCUGUUAUGUAAUUCGUCUUUUUAGCUUUCAAGACUUUUGAGAUAUGUUGAACGGCUGUGUACAUCUUAACUAUGCAGAGGUCGGGUGUAAUUGCUUCUUAUGAGUAGUAAAACGCCCAUUAUCUAUUAAAAAAAAAUGUCUCGUGUGCGACAGAGGACUUGCUAGUCUCAUGUCUCAUGCUUUAUGUCUCAUGUCUCAUGUCGCGAUUAAAAUUAUUGGUCCUGGGCACUGAUCUACUGCUAGUCCCAUGUCUUGCUACGUAUUGAGUACUGACAUUAUUACAGAGUUGUAUGAUCGAUAGGCCAAUAACCUUGCAUUACGCUUUGCACACUUUAUAACAAGAACAUGCACAUGAAUAUUGUUGCCUGUUUAUUUAAAACUGCAACAUGCACAUUAAUUCGCUCAUUGUCUUCUUUGUUUUGUAACUUUGAGUUAUUGCA